UAACAGGUGUAGUAAUACAUGCUGACGAGUGGCGCACGGGUGCGUAACGCGUAUGCAACCUACCUAUAACUGGGGAAUAGCUCAGAGAAAUCUGAAUUAAUACCGCAUAAAAUUUUUGGGAGACAUCUCCCGAUUAUCAAAACUCCGGUGGUUAUAGAUGGGCAUGCGUGACAUUAGCUAGUUGGUGAGGUAACGGCUCACCAAGGCUACGAUGUCUAGGGGGUCUGAGAGGAUGAUCCCCCACACUGGUACUGAGACACGGACCAGACUCCUACGGGAGGCAGCAGUAAGGAAUAUUGGACAAUGGGGGCAACCCUGAUCCAGCCAUGCCGCGUGAAGGAUGAAGGCGCUCUGCGUUGUAAACUUCUUUUAUACGGGAAUAAUUCACACUACGUGUAGUGUGUUGAAUGUACUGUAAGAAUAAGGAUCGGCUAACUUCGUGCCAGCAGCCGCGGUAAUACGAAGGAUCCAAGCGUUAUCCGGAUUUAUUGGGUUUAAAGGGUGCGUAGGCGGCUUACUAAGUCAGUGGUGAAAGCCCGGAGCUCAACUCUGGAAUUGCCAUUGAUACUGAUGAGCUUGAGUACACUUGAGGUAGGCGGAAUGUGUCAUGUAGCGGUGAAAUGCUUAGAUAUGACACAGAACACCGAUUGCGAAGGCAGCUUACUAAAGUGUAACUGACGCUGAGGCACGAAAGCGUGGGGAUCAAACAGGAUUAGAUACCCUGGUAGUCCACGCCCUAAACGAUGAUUACUCGUUGUUGGCGAUACACUGUCAGCGACUGAGCGAAAGCAUUAAGUAAUCCACCUGGGGAGUACGGUCGCAAGACUGAAACUC
rnacentral:rRNA from 1 species